GACGAACGCUGGCGGCGUGCUUAACACAUGCAAGUCGAACGGAAAGGCCCUGCUUUUGUGGGGUGCUCGAGCGGCGAACGGGUGAGUAACACGUGAUUAACCUGCCCUUGACUUUGGGAUAACUUCAGGAAACUGGGGCUAAUACCGGAUAGGAGCUCCUGCUGCAUGGUGGGGGUUGGAAAGUUUCGGCGGUUGGGGAUGGACUCGCGGCUUAUCAGCUUGUUGGUGGGGUAGUGGCUUACCAAGGCUUUGACGGGUAGCCGGCCUGAGAGGGUGACCGGCCACAUUGGGACUGAGAUACGGCCCAGACUCGUACGGGAGGCAGCAGGGGGGAAUAUUGCACAAUGGGCGGAAGCCUGAUGAAGAAACGCCGCGUGCGGGAUGACGGCCUUCGGGUUGUAAACCGCUUUCGCCUGUGACGAAGCGUGAGUGACGGUAAUGGGUAAAGAAGCACCGGCUAACUACGUG
rnacentral:rRNA from 1 species